rnacentral:snRNA from 1 species
AAACUUAACUGGCACAAAAUAUACCGCAAUCAAAAAGACGAUUCUUCCAGAACGGAAUCCAACCAUUGCACUUUGGAUAUACUGACUUCUGUGAUUACUGCUUUUGCUCUUGCGGUUUUGUUGGUUGCUGUCGUUGUUGUUGUUUGUGUUGUUGUUUGUGUUGUCGUUGU